rnacentral:tRNA from 1 species
GACCGCGUAGCUCAGUUGGCAGAGCAUUGGACUAGUAUUCCAAAGGUGGUAGGUUCGAUUCCUACCCUUGCCA